rnacentral:lncRNA from 1 species
GCACCCAGAGAACCCAGGUAAUUAAAAUACCAGAAAAGAAAGCUACUUUGUCAAGCCCGGGUUGAGGUCAGGAUUAUUUGGGAUUCACAGCAGAAGCUUCAGACAAUCUUCCUCUUUUAGCUGUAGAAGACAACGUCCACACACCACAUCUGUCACAUAACUGAUAACUGUGCAUUUUAGUAAGUAGCUAUCACAGAACUUGAAUGUUAUAUAUUGUCUUUUAAAACAGUAAGAUAUUGCUGGGUUUGGGUGUAAUGGGGUGAGAGUUUACAACAACUUUUCUUUUCUGGUCUUUGAGCCAAGUUCCGUUUUGACUGAGUCACAGAAUAUAAAUCUAC